AGACGUAGGGGGCGAGCGUUGUCCGGAAUUACUGGGCGUAAAGAGCGUGUAGGCGGAUAUUUAAGUCAGGUGUGAAAGACCGGGGCUCAACUCCGGGGUUGCACUUGAAACUGGGUAUCUUGAGGGCAGGAGAGGAAAGUGGAAUUCCUGGUGUAGCGGUGAAAUGCGUAGAUAUCAGGAGGAACAUCGGUGGCGAAGGCGGCUUUCUGGACUGACCCUGACGCUGAGACGCGAAAGCGUGGGGAGCAAACAGGAUUAGAUACCCUGGUAGUCCACGCUGUAAACGAUGGGCACUAGGUGUAGGAGGUAUCGACCCCUUCUGUGCCGCAGCUAACGCAAUAAGUGCCCCGCCUGGGGAGUACGGUCGCAAGGCUGAA
rnacentral:rRNA from 1 species